UACGUAGGGGGCAAGCGUUGUCCGGAAUCAUUGGGCGUAAAGAGCGUGUAGGCGGCUCGAUAAGUCUGCUGUGAAAGUCCAGGGCUCAACCCUGGAAGGCCGGUGGAAACUGUCGGGCUAGAGUCCGGAAGAGGCGAGUGGAAUUCCCGGUGUAGCGGUGAAAUGCGCAGAUAUCGGGAGGAACACCAAUGGCGAAGGCAGCUCGCUGGGACGGUACUGACGCUGAGACGCGAAAGCAUGGGGAGCGAACAGG
rnacentral:rRNA from 1 species